GAGAGAGAGAGAGAGAGAGAGAGAGAGAAACACAAACCUGCUACACUGGCGAAGAAUCGGCGACGGCGAUUUGUGAAGAAUCGGCGACGGCGAGAUCACCGGCGAAGAAUCAGCAUCAUUGACGGCUAUGAAUCUCAAUUUUGAGUGUUUUGUGUCGAGGAGAGGGUGAAGAAGAGAUGUGAUUUUGGGUGUAAUUCCAUAUAUUAGAUUAGGGUAUUAUUUUUGUUAUAAUUUUGGCUGAAUCAGCUUCAGCAGAAUGAACAAAUCAAACUCAGUCAGAUUUUUUUUAUUUUUUGGAUGAAUUUAGAAAAAAGCAUUCAACUGAAUCAUUCGAAUGAUCUAUUAAAACAUGAAAAACAAACAACAAUUUUCAUCUUCAUUGAGAUGGUUCAUCCAAAUGGACAAACAAACAGGACCAUAGUACUCAACUUGAAACCAUUGAAGCUGGUUGGCAGGUUUUAGUCUUUCUUGCAAUAUUUGCAUGUUUAUAUAUA
rnacentral:sRNA from 1 species